rnacentral:rRNA from 1 species
AGUUUGAUCAAUGGCUCAGAUUGAACGCUGGCGGCAUGCCUUACACAUGCAAGUCGAACGGCAGCACGGACUUCGGUCUGGUGGCGAGUGGCGAACGGGUGAGUAAUAUAUCGGAACAUACCCUAGAGUGGGGGAUAACGUAGCGAAAGUUACGCUAAUACCGCAUACGAACUAAGGUUGAAAGCGGGGGAUCUUCGGACCUCGUGCUCAUGGAGUGGCCGAUAUCUGAUUAGCUAGUUGGUGAGGUAAAGGCUCACCAAGGCGACGAUCAGUAGCUGGUUUGAGAGAACGACCAGCCACACUGGAACUGAGACACGGUCCAGACUCCUACGGGAGGCAGCAGUGGGGAAUUUUGGACAAUGGGCGCAAGCCUGAUCCAGCAAUGCCGCGUGAGUGAAGAAGGCCUUCGGGUUGUAAAGCUCUUUUGUCAGGGAAGAAACGGUGAGUCCUAAUAUGGCUUGCUAAUGACGGUACCUGAAGAAUAAGCACCGGCUAACUACGUG